rnacentral:misc_RNA from 1 species
AAAUAAUAUAUAAUGUAUUUGGAUUUAGAAUCUUACAUAAUGAAAGAACUUUAAUAAGGAGAUGUCUAUUGACUGCUACAUGUAAAGAUGCCUGAUGAUGGUCCAAUAAAGGAUCGAAACGUCGCAUGAAUUUGCAAUUAGUGGUUUGAUUGGCACCUUAUGUCCACUUUCCUGCGAACCGUCAAAGAAUAAUAAAUGACAUUGCUCCAUAUUUGGCCGUUGUUUUUAAUGAAU